rnacentral:rRNA from 1 species
GGGUUGUGAGGUUAAGCGACUAAGCGUACACGGUGGAUGCCCUGGCAGUCAGAGGCGAUGAAGGGCGUGCUAAUCUGCGAUAAGCGCCGGUAAGGUGAUAUGAACCGUUAUAACCGGCGAUACCCGAAUGGGGAAACCCAGUGUGAUUCGUCACACUAUCAUUAACUGAAUCCAUAGGUUAAUGAGGCGAACCGGGGGAACUGAAACAUCUAAGUACCCCGAGGAAAAGAAAUCAACCGAGAUUCCCCCAGUAGCGGCGAGCGAACGGGGAGGAGCCCAGAGCCUGAAUCAGCAUGUGUGUUAGUGGAAGCGUCUGGAAAGGCGCGCGAUACAGGGUGACAGCCCCGUACACAAAAGCGCAUGUGCUGUGAGCUCGAUGAGUAGGGCGGGACACGUGGUAUCCUGUCUGAAUAUGGGGGGACCAUCCUCCAAGGCUAAAUACUCCUGACUGACCGAUAGUGAACCAGUACCGUGAGGGAAAGGCGAAAAGAACCCCGGCGAGGGGAGUGAAAAAGAACCUGAAACCGUGUACGUACAAGCAGUGGGAGCACCCUUCGGGGUGUGACUGCGUACCUUUUGUAUAAUGGGUCAGCGACUUAUAUUCUGUAGCAAGGUUAACCGUAUAGGGGAGCCGGAGGGAAACCGAGUCUUAACCGGGCGUUAAGUUGCAGGGUAUAGACCCGAAACCCGGUGAUCUAGCCAUGGGCAGGUUGAAGGUUGGGUAACACUAACUGGAGGACCGAACCGACUAAUGUUGAAAAAUUAGCGGAUGACCUGUGGCUGGGGGUGAAAGGCCAAUCAAACCGGGAGAUAGCUGGUUCUCCCCGAAAGCUAUUUAGGUAGCGCCUCGUGAAUUCAUCUCCGGGGGUAGAGCACUGUUUCGGCUAGGGGGCCAUCCCGGCUUACCAACCCGAUGCAAACUGCGAAUACCGGAGAAUGUUAUCACGGGAGACACACGGCGGGUGCUAACGUCCGUCGUGAAGAGGGAAACAACCCAGACCGCCAGCUAAGGUCCCAAAGUCAUGGUUAAGUGGGAAACGAUGUGGGAAGGCCCAGACAGCCAGGAUGUUGGCUUAGAAGCAGCCAUCAUUUAAAGAAAGCGUAAUAGCUCACUGGUCGAGUCGGCCUGCGCGGAAGAUGUAACGGGGCUAAACCAUGCACCGAAGCUGCGGCAGCGAACGUAUCACCCAAGACAACUUUACGGAGUUGACGAUUGACGGAGCGAAGCGACGUCAAAGCGUUCAUUAAAGUCGAGUUGGCUUAGGGAUACGUUCGUUGGGUAGGGGAGCGUUCUGUAAGCCUGUGAAGGUGUGUCGUGAGGC